UACAGAGACCUCGAGCAUUAUCCGGAAUUAUUGGGCGUAAAGGGUCCGUAGGCGGCUUAUCAAGUCAUGUGUCAAAUCUUUGGGCUCAACCCAGAGGCUGCGCGUGAAACUGGUAGGCUAGAGGUCGGGAGAGGCAUGUGGAAUUGUCGGUGUAGCGGUAAAAUGCGUUAAUAUCGACAAGAACACCAAAUGCGAAGGCAGCAUGCUGGAACGAUUUUGACGCUGAGGGACGAAAGCGUGGGUAGCGAAUGGG
rnacentral:rRNA from 1 species